CUCAGAAUUGCAUGCACCAGGUGCAAUUGGACUACGUCAAAUCCCAUGGUGAAUAACAUGCCAUGCUAUCCCUUGUAUUUCACCAAUUCCUGAUUGUGCUAUUCACCAUGCAUAUGCUCCAAGAUUUGCCCUGGUUCACUUGCACCUGGUACAUGCAAUAAUUUCUCCCAACUUUUUGUAACCCACUGAUGCUCCACCAAGCAUACAUCACUAAAGACCAUCUGCCCUUCUCUCUCUCUCUCUCUCCCUCUCCCCCCCAUGUUUGUGUGUGAUAAAAAUUAUGGAGUAUGAUGAGCGUGCUCAUUAUGUUAGUGCCCUAGAAUAUUUUCCUCGUUGGUCAUUGACCUAAUCCAAACACCCCUCCCUAUCCACAUUUUUAUUGCAUCGUGAGAUUGAUCAUUCAAUUGAUAAUUUAAUGUAAUAAGAUGGGUUUAACAAAAAUUUUAAGCCUAGAUUUUAUCGAACCAUGCAUAA
rnacentral:lncRNA from 1 species